AUGCUCACUUUGGAAGUACAUAUACUAAAAUUGAAAUGAUACAGACAAAAUUAGCAUGGCCUCUGUGUAAGGAUGACAUGCAAAUUCAUGAAGUGCUCCAUAUUUGU
rnacentral:snRNA from 1 species